rnacentral:misc_RNA from 1 species
GAAAUGCGAUAAGUAAUGUGAAUUGCAGAAUUCAGUGAAUCAUCGAAUCUUUGAACGCACAUUGCACCCGCCAGAAUUCUGGCGGGCAUGCCUGUUCGAGCGUCAUUUCAACCCUCGAGCUCCCCUUUCGGGGGGAGCCCGGCGUUGGGGACCCGGCGCUAACAACGCCGGCCCCGAAAUGGAGUGGCGGCCCGUCCGCGGCGACCUCUGCGUAGUAACAACCACUCGCACCGGGACCCGGGCGCGGCCACGCCGUAAAACACCCCACCUUCCGAAUGUUGACCUCGAAUCAGGUAGGAAUACCCGCUGAACUUAAGC